UCCGGUUUGUUUCCGGCGGUCUCCCUAGAUUUGCAACUAAGGACAAGGGUUGCGCUCGUUGCGGGACUUAACCCAACAUCUCACGACACGAGCUGACGACAGCCAUGCAGCAUCUGUGCACCUGUCCUUGCGGAGGCUGUUCUUUCAAACAGUUGCAGGUGCAUGUCAAGCCUUGGUAAGGUUCUUCGCGUUGCAUCGAAUUAAACCACACGCUCCGCUGCUUGUGCGGGCCCCCGCCUAUUCCUUUGAGUUUUAACCUUGCGGCCGUAGUCCCCAGGCGGUGAACUUAAUGCGUUAGCUGCGGCACUGAUCGGGUCAAUCCGACCAACACCUAGUUCACAACGUUUAGGGCGUGGACUAC
rnacentral:misc_RNA from 1 species